AGAGUUUGAUUAUGGCUCAGGAUGAACGCUAGCUACAGGCUUAACACAUGCAAGUCGAGGGGCAGCAUUGGAGUAGCAAUACUCAGAUGGCGACCGGCGCACGGGUGAGUAACACGUAUCCAACCUGCCGCUUACUCGGGGAUAGCCUUUCGAAAGAAAGAUUAAUACCCGAUGGUAUAAAGAGUUCGCAUGUUCUCUUUAUUAAAGAAUUUCGGUAAGCGAUGGGGAUGCGUUCCAUUAGAUAGUUGGCGGGGUAACGGCCCACCAAGUCUACGAUGGAUAGGGGUUCUGAGAGGAAGGUCCCCCACAUUGGAACUGAGACACGGUCCAAACUCCUACGGGAGGCAGCAGUGAGGAAUAUUGGUCAAUGGACGAGAGUCUGAACCAGCCAAAGUAGCGUGAAGGAUGACUGCCCUAUGGGUUGUAAACUUCUUUUAUAAGGGAAUAAAGUGGGGGACGUGUCCCUUUUUGUAUGUACCUUAUGAAUAAGGAUCGGCUAACUCCGUGCCAGCCGCCGC
rnacentral:rRNA from 1 species